GAUGAACGCUGGCGGCGUGCCUAAUACAUGCAAGUCGAGCGAACAGACGAGGAGCUUGCUCCUCUGACGUUAGCGGCGGACGGGUGAGUAACACGUGGAUAACCUACCUAUAAGACUGGGAUAACUUCGGGAAACCGGAGCUAAUACCGGAUAAUAUAUCGAACUGCAUGGUUCAAUCGUGAAAGUCGGUUUUGGUGUUAAUUAUUGAUGUAUCCGCGCCGCCUUAGAUAGUUGGUAAGGUAACGGCUUACCAAGGCGACGAUGCGUAGCCGACCUGAGAGGGUGGUCGGCCACACUGGAACUGAGACACGGUCCAGACUCCUACGGGAGGCAGCAGUAGGGAAUCUUCCGCGAUGGGCGAAAGCCUGACGGAGCAACGCCGCGUGAAUGAUGAAGGUCUUCGGAUCGUAAAGCUCUGUUAUUAGGGAAGAACAAAUGUGUAAGUAACUAUGCACGUCUUGACGGUACCUAAUCAGAAAGCCACGGCUAACUACGUG
rnacentral:rRNA from 1 species